GGGGAAUAUUGGACAAUGGGCGCAAGCCUGAUCCAGCCAUACCGCGUGGGUGAAGAAGGCCUUCGGGUUGUAAGGCCCUUUUGUUGGGAAAGAAAAGCAUUCGGUUAAUACCCGAUUGUUCUGACGGUACCCAAAGAAUAAGCACCGGCUAACUUCGUGCCAGCAGCCGCGGUAAUACGAAGGGUGCAAGCGUUACUCGGAAUUACUGGGCGUAAAGCGCGCGUAGGUGGUUCGUUAAGUUGGAUGUGAAAGCCCCGGGCUCAACCUGGGAACUGCAUCCAAAACUGGCGAGCUAGAGUAUGGCAGAGGGUGGUGGAAUUUCCUGUGUAGCGGUGAAAUGCGUAGAUAUAGGAAGGAACACCAGUGGCGAAGGCGACCACCUGGGCUAAUACUGACACUGAGGUGCGAAAGCGUGGGGAGCAAACA
rnacentral:rRNA from 1 species